AACAGAAUCAGAAUGACGGUGCGGAUGGAAUAAACCAACUGCUUCAAAACAAGCCCCACAAACGAACGGUUUGGGUAUGACUGUAACUAGAUGCACUUCUCGCUGCAGUCAUGCAUGGGUGUACGACAUGCCUCCUGCAUACCAGCAUUUGAAGCAGAAGGAAUAGGUCGUGGGACUCUUGAAGGUGGUACGAGGGGACACGACAGAAACCUGCAACUAAAAUUGCGGCAUGAACACGAACAAUAAAAUAUCUGCUCGAUUGCUGGUUUGAAAACCUUCAUAAAAGAACAGAGGAGUUACACUGAGAUAAAUUUUAUUUCAUUUUAUGAGGUUGUCAAGGAAAAUGCUUCAUGUGUCAUGAUCUAUUAAAACUUCCCCUUCUUU